UCGGAUCGGAGUCUGNAACCCGACUCCGUGAAGCUGGAUUCGCUAGUAAUCGCGCAUCAGCCAUGGCGCGGUGAAUACGUUCCCGGGCCUUGUACACACCGCCCGUCAAGCCAUGGAAGCCGGGGGUGCCUGAAGUGUGCAGCCGCAAGGAGCGCCCUAAGGUAAACCGGUGACUGGGGCUAAGUCGUAACAAGGUAGC
rnacentral:rRNA from 1 species